UACGUAGGUGGCAAGCGUUGUCCGGAAUUAUUGGGCGUAAAGCGCGCGCAGGCGGUCCUUUAAGUCUGAUGUGAAAGCCCACGGCUCAACCGUGGAGGGUCAUUGGAAACUGGGGGACUUGAGUGCAGGAGAGAAGAGUGGAAUUCCACGUGUAGCGGUGAAAUGCGUAGAGAUGUGGAGGAACACCAGUGGCGAAGGCGACUCUUUGGCCUGUAACUGACGCUGAGAAGCGAAAGCAUGGGGAGCGAACAGG
rnacentral:rRNA from 1 species